AAGCCAUGUUAAGCCCAUGACCUCCCACUGCCUAAUCCGAGUUGCCACAAUCCUCUUCCCACUUGCUAUGGAGUAAUGGGACUUUCUUCUGAGUAGACUUGUAUGGCGUUUUACUGUUAAUUAACAAAAUUAGGGAAAAAGAUUGCUGUCCUUCAGUAUCCAUCCCCAACACAAGCAAUGGUUUGCCAAUUGCAAACCGAAUGCAAAUUGCAAGAAAGCUUCCUUGUUCAAAAAUUUGCCUGAGUUUACAUGCACAGGAAGACUGGCUAGACUGAAUUAAGCAAUGACAGAAGGGUUUUCACAGACGCUUAUGCAGCAAUGAAGUCUUGUAGAUAGUCCCCUUUUGUUCUUUUCUUCUUUAAAACACAGUAAAUCGCUGGUUUCUAGAGCGCAGGCAAAUUCUGGGCUCUGAAGAAAGGAAAUAUGCAGUGUGUAUUAGUAUAUGGAAGGGUUAUUUUCAUAGGAGGCCCCCCUCCCCAAGGUGAGGUCUUGCAACUAUAGAAUUCGUGGCAGAUGGCUGCGUUCUUAAAUUCUUCCAAGCCAAGGAGAGCCAGCCACUUCCUCAGGGAGUGUUUCACUGCUGGGCAGCUCUUCCCAUUCUUCCUGUCAUUUCUCCUAAGGUUUAGGGGUUAGGAAGCUUCUCCUGAUAUACUUCAUUGUGGAAUAUUCACUUUGUUCACACUGAAAACUAAAAAAAAAGGUCUGCAGCAGUUAAGGAUGGUUUAAAUGUGCUUCUUUGUUGCAUGCGAACCAGAUGCAGAAAGUUCAUGCAGGCCCAGUGGCGUAGCGUGGGGGGUGCAGGGGGGGCCAGCCGCACCGGGCGCAACAUCUGGGGGGGGCGCGCUCGCACUCGCAGCUCUCUGCCCCUACCUGGCUCACUCUCUCUCUCUCACUGCAGUGCUGGCUGUGCGAAUCCGAUCCGAGCCGCUGGGUCGCCGCCCACUGUGGAGGGGGUGGGUGCCAGGCGUGCGGUGCGGAGAGAGAGCGAGGGACUAUCUGGGGGAGGGACAGUGCAGCGGCCGCCCAGCGCAGCGCUGAGCGUGGGAGAGAACCACACCAGACCAGACCAGGCAGCAGCAAGAAGAAGCUGGCAGCGGCGGCAGGUUAGGGGUUAGGGGGCGCAAAUUACUUGCCUUGCCCCUGCUUAGGGGGCGCAAAUUACUUGCCUUGCCCCGGGUGCUGACAACCCACGCUACGCCGCUGUGCAGGCCAACCCUCUUUCAUUGCAAAAAAUUACAGUAUCCUGGUAGAUGGGGCUUCCAACAGCCACAGCUUAAAUUGGGGGGGGGGGGGACCUUUGGCCCUUCAGAUGUUGCUGAACUGCAGCUCCCAUCAUCCCUGGCAUUGGCCAUGCUUGUCAGGGCUGAUGGGAGUUGGAGUUCAGCAGCAUUGGGAAGGCCGGAUAUUUAUCACAACCGGCUUAAAACUUCUGAAACAGCCUGUUCCACUGUCAAGUAGUUUGUACCAUCUGUAAUGUUUUCCUUAUGUUUGGUCUCAGUCACUGGAUAUUCAAGUCCUACCCUCUGGAGCGACAGAAAACAAGUUUGCUCCAUCAUCUAUGUGACAAUGGUUCACAUAUUUGAAGACGGUUGUCACAUUGUCUCUUCAUUGUCCUCUCCAGCAUUCCCAGGUGGAAUUUUAAUUCCACUUCCAUCUAAUUGUAGAAGAGCAAUGUUUCGGCAGGGCAAUCUAGCGCUGAAGCAACCAUAGUAAUUGGUGCUUUUUCAAAUACUUUAAUGAAUAUGCUUACGCACAAUGUUGGCUGCAAGAUAUUUAUAGCAGUUAAAUUGUAAAUAUUGUUCACCCAUGUUCAGUGAAAAAAAUCCUUUUGCUAAUCUACAGUUCUGCUAAAUGACUCAUCUGAGUUGCAUGCACACGCAAGUGUUGCGUAAAACAUUUCAAAAAAUUGGUCUGCAACAUAGGCUGCAAUUUUGGUGGUGAUAGCCGUCAGAAAAUGGAGAGGUAUAUAAACUUUUAAUGGGAAACUGGUGUAUUUAAGAGUUUAUGGGGCGGAAAACAGUGCCGAUAAAGAAAGUAUUGCUUACUUUUUGCAACUUUUCUCCUUCUGUUUCUAACUAUAUUUAUUUCCCAUCCUUUUAAUUCUUCUUUACUGAUAGGCUUAGUCAGAACAAGGCAUUUUAUGGUUGACCCUGAACAGUGUUUUGUGCUUUCUGUACCCAGAGCUGUUUUCUUAGAGGAUGGAGAUCAGGAAAUUAUAACCAAGAGUUCAAAAAUCUGCUUACAAAAAUGUGCAGGUGGAGCAGAUUCGUAAGAUCGCAGAAGCAGAUGCAUGCAACCAUCAGAAACCUAAAACAGAAUUACUCUGCCUAAUGGCGGGGCUUGCUUUACUGAGUAACAUCUUUGCAUAACUGCAGAAUAGAUCUUCUGAUCACAUAGGUCGCAAUCAAUGAUGGAAGAAGCAGCCUGCUUUCUAUUACAGUACCUCUAACUGAUCUACUUCCAUGGUAUCAGGAACCACAUUCUUCUCAGUUUCUUUCUCCCAUUUCCCUAAUUAAGACCACUGGUUAGAAAGGAAGUGACGUAGGCAGUGCUGGCUGGUCCACUAGAGCAAAUGGAGCACUGCUCCAGCCUUCUCAUUCUUCCCUCAGCUAGCCCCCGCCAGUGGUGAAGCUACCACUCCAUCACCAGGGGCGGCGUACAUCUGGGGCAUGGCUGGCACGUGUCCCAGGGGGUGUGACGCACAUCGGGGGGUUGCGCGGCAAGCAGCGGGGUGUGUGGGUGGCGAGCGGCCUGGGGAUGCACGCUGAGCGCCCUGGGAGACGGGUGGCUGUGAUGGCACCCCCCAGAUGGCACCUGGGGCGGACCGCCCCCCACCUUCGUCCGCCAGUGGCCCCUGCCUACCUCCUUUCUCACUUGCAACUGGCACAGCCUGUUCCCUUCCUCCUCCUCAUUCUCAGUGUUGCCCUGUAGAACGCAGCAUGGGAGGAGGAUGGGGGCAAAAGUAGAAUUAGCUGGCUCUGUUCUUGGCUCUGGCUCCACCUACUGUUGGACCAAUGUGGUGUAGUGGUUAAGAGCGGUAGAUUCAUAAUCUGGGGAACCGGGUUUGUGUCUCCGCUCCUCCACAUGCAGCUGCUGGGUGACCUUGGGCUAGUCACACUUCUUUGAAGUCUCUCAGCCCCACUCACCUCACAGAGUGUUUGUUGUGGGGGAGGAAGGGAAAGGAGAAUGUUAGCCACUUUGAGACUCCUUAGGGUAGUGAUAAAGCGGGAUAUCAAAUCCAAACUACUACUCCUCCCAACCUUCUGCCCCACCAGUCUCAGUGGGCACCAGUCUCCACUGAGAAAGGUGUGAGCCAUGAGCAAGGACAUGUUGUGUGUUCUCUUUAACAAAAGCUGAGCAUUCACAAUUCUGUUCAGUUUUGAGACUGGAAGGAACAUCUCAAUCCUUCCAGCCAGACAGCAGGAAUUGCCAAUGAGAGGUCACUAUUGCUGCACUUUCACAUGCUGCCAGGAGUCGCCUGCCUUUCCUUAGUCCACAGAUUCUACCAUAACAGUUAAGAGUGGCAGUCCAAAAGGAACUGCUCAGAAGCAACUUUGGGCCCAGAGCCAGUAGCAGCACCUCUGCCAUCGCUGCCUCACCAACUCCAUCUCUCAAGAGCACAGCCAGAGGCAGGUUGCUGCUGCUGCUUCCCUGUGAGAAUCCAAGCUGACUCCCAAAAAUACUGCAUGUUAAUACAGUG